UGCCAGACUCCUACGGGAGGCAGCAGUGAGGAAUAUUGGUCAAUGGGCGCGAGCCUGAACCAGCCAAGUCGCGUGAGGGAUGACGGCCCUACGGGUUGUAAACCUCUUUUGUCGGGGAGCAAAUUCCGUUACGUGUAACGGAGUCGAGAGUACCCGAAGAAAAAGCAUCGGCUAACUCCGUGCCAGCAGCCGCGGUAAUACGGAGGAUGCGAGCGUUAUCCGGAUUUAUUGGGUUUAAAGGGUGCGCAGGCGGUCUGUUAAGUCAGCGGUCAAAGCCCGGGGCUCAACCCCGGUCCGCCGUUGAAACUGGCAGUCUCGAGUUGGAGAGAAGUAUGCGGAAUGCGCGGUGUAGCGGUGAAAUGCAUAGAUAUCGCGCAGAACUCCGAUUGCGAAGGCAGCAUGCCGGCUCCACACUGACGCUGAGGCACGAAAGCGUGGGUAUCGAACAGGAUUAGAUACCCUAGUA
rnacentral:rRNA from 1 species